rnacentral:rRNA from 1 species
GCAGUGUACCCGCGGCAAGACGGAAAGACCCCGUGAACCUUUACUAUAGCUUGACACUGAACAUUGAGCCUUGAUGUGUAGGAUAGGUGGGAGGCUUUGAAGCGUGGACGCCAGUCUGCGUGGAGCCAACCUUGAAAUACCACCCUUUAAUGUUUGAUGUUCUAACGUUGGCCCCUGACCGGGGUUGCGGACAGUGUCUGGUGGGUAGUUUGACUGGGGCGGUCUCCUCCCAAAGCGUAACGGAGGAGCACGAAGGUUAGCUAAUCCUGGUCGGACAUCAGGAGGUUAGUGCAAUGGCAUAAGCUAGCUUGACUGCGAGCGUGACGGCGCGAGCAGGUGCGAAAGCAGGUCAUAGUGAUCCGGUGGUUCUGAAUGGAAGGGCCAUCGCUCAACGGAUAAAAGGUACUCCGGGGAUAACAGGCUGAUACCGCCCAAGAGUUCAUAUCGACGGCGGUGUUUGGCACCUCGAUGUCGGCUCAUCACAUCCUGGGGCUGAAGUAGGUCCCAAGGGUAUGGCUGUUCGCCAUUUAAAGUGGUACGCGAGCUGGGUUUAGAACGUCGUGAGACAGUUCGGUCCCUAUCUGCCGUGGGCGCUGGAGAAUUGAGGGGGGCUGCUCCUAGUACGAGAGGACCGGAGUGGACGCAUCACUGGUGUUCGGGUUGUCAUGCCAAUGGCACUGCCCGGUAGCUAAAUGCGGAAGAGAUAAGUGCUGAAAGCAUCUAAGCACGAAACUUGCCCCGAGAUGAGUUCUCCCUGAGACUUUAAGUCUCCUGAAGGAACGUUAAAGACGAUGACGUUGAUAGGCCGGGUGUGUAAGCGCAGCGAUGCGUUGAGCUAACCGGUACUAAUGAACCGUGAGGCUUAACCUU